UACGAAGGGGGCUAGCGUUGCUCGGAAUCACUGGGCGUAAAGCGCACGUAGGCGGAUUGUUAAGUCAGGGGUGAAAUCCUGGAACUCAACUCCAGAACUGCCUUUGAUACUGGCGAUCUUGAGUCCGGGAGAGGUGAGUGGAACUCCGAGUGUAGAGGUGAAAUUCGUAGAUAUCGUAAGGAAGACCAGUGGCGAAGGCGGGUCUCUGGACAGUUCCUGACGCUGAGGCACGAAGGUCAGGGGAGCAAACGGG
rnacentral:rRNA from 1 species